GGGUGGGGGAAAUGGCUUUGCUGCAGGGAGUCUCCUUCUCAAGGUCUCCCCUUGAGGAGUGAGAGAGAAUACAGGGUCACGCCUGUGAGCGCGAGGAGGAGCCUCCUUGGGGUUUUCCCCUUUCCCACUGCUAAUUGAGUGAGAAGACAGACGUCCCUGUGGAGCAGCUUCUAGACUUCCUCGUGCAUCCAGUGAGAGAGGACGGCUUUCAAGGUCCUGGCUUGGAGCCUUGCUAAUGGUCGUGUGUUCCAUGGAUUCCCUGCUACGUGGCAUGAAAAGAGUCCCCGGGUGGGUCCUUGUUCUCCACGAGCGAUGCUGUGCAGAAGAACAAGAACCACAUCCAGCUGGGGCUCAGGAGUUAGCAGAGAUCAGCAGCACCUUGGCUCCUUCCCAGUCAGCCAGCAGGAGAUGGACCCCAGUCAAGGCACAAGAACCAGCCCAUGGCUGUGAGCAGGAAAAUAGCCCCCAAGAAGCUGGCUAGAGCUGACAGGAUCCCCAGAAAGGCCACCAUGCCCAUGUGCAGGAAUAGUCCUAAGAAAGUGGUGGCUGCAGCAGGGACAAAAAAGGAAGAAAAAAAUCCCCCAAAAGGUCAAAGCUGCCAAGCCCCAGAAGGUGGUCAAGAGCCCGCCGGGAAGCAAGACAGGGGAGAGCAAGGCUAAACCUAACCUCAAAGCCAGGUGGCCCUGAGAAAGAAGUGAAGCGAUUUCCAUGGGGAUAACUCCUGUUCCACAAAUGCUCUUUGAAGACUGACCGUGGACCUCCCAGAAAGAGCCAGAUCCCACAGGACAAACAGACCCACGGAGAGCAAAAAGACUCCUCAGGCCAGUGGAGCGGAGCAGGGCAAGAGUCUCAGCCCCAGGAAGAGGAUCUGGAAGAAAUGGACCUGCACAAUCUAGACAUCCAACGUUCCAGAGGCAUGUAACCAAAGAUUCUCAGUCCUCACCUCUUCCACAUCACUGGGCAAGAGUUCCUGGUCAUGGCAUGCUAGCCCUGCUCUCUACCGUGCUUCAGCGGAUGUGAGCAUUCUGGUUAGGGGAGAUCUCUGUGGGAUAAAGGCAAGGGGAAAGGACAAUAGAAUGCUGUGCUCAUUUUGGAUGGGAGCAGCCUGGUGCCUCUUACAUAUAGCCAUGCCUGCCUUGGGGACUAGCAAUCACCGGAGCCAACUACCUUUACAUUCCCUGCCACUCGCUUGAUGUUCUUGGCUUGUGUU